UGAUCAUCUUGCUGUGGUGGAACUAGGUGUUUCUGUGUCCACAGACAGGAAUAUCACUGCACAGGUUGGGGACCCUGUCACUCUCCCCUGCUAUGCCAACGUCAGCAAACAGGCAAAUCUCAGUCAUCUUAACGUCCGCUGGGAGAAAGAUGGACAGACUGUGCUGGAUAUCCAUAUAUAUAUAUAAUACAGGGACACCUGAAGGGAUUAUUCUUUCUAUUGCAGGCCGUCAGUCAAACAUCACCAUCCAGUCACCUGAGUCCCUCUUCCUGCCGCUCCACAUUGUAGAACCAGUCCGUGUUCUGUUCAGUUCUGGUGGCUGCACCAGUGUGUCUGUGUGUACUGUGGAGGGAGAUUCUGUAGACUGUGGACCUCAGUACCAACACAGGGCGUCUGUCCACAACUCAACUCUGAUGCUGGAAUACACAACACCAGCUGACAGUGGUGUGUACAGAGUGAUGGACAACAGGACAAAUGACACCAUCAACACUGUAUCUGUCAGUGUUACUGUUUCUCCUACAGUGCUGUUCCCGCUCCUUUCUGUGUUGCUGCUGCUGGGGGCAUUGGUGUUAUUAUGGAUGACGGUA